UCCGGUUGAUCCUGCCGGCGGCCACUGCUAUCAGGUUUCGGCUAAGCCAUGCGAGUCUAGGGAUCGCAAGAUACCGGCAUACUGCUCAGUAACACGCGGACAAUCUACCCCCAGGAGGGGUAUAACCUCGGGAAACUGAGGGUAAUUCCCCAUAGCCAUCAUAUGCUGGAAUGCUUUGAUGGCAAAAGCUCCGGCGCCUGAGGAUGAGUCUGCGGCCUAUCAGGUAGUAUGUGGUGUAAAGGACCACAUAGCCGAAGACGGGUACGGGCCCUGAGAGGGGGAGCCCGGAGAUGGACUCUGAGACACUAGUCCAGGCCCUACGGGGCGCAGCAGGCGCGAAAACUGUGCAAUGCGCGAAAGCGCGACACGGGAAACCUGAGUGCCUUGACAAAGUCAAGGCUUUUCUUAAGCCUAAAAAGCUUAAGGAAUAAGAGCUGGGUAAGACGGGUGCCAGCCGCCGCGGUAACACCCGCAGCUCGAGUGGUGGUCACUUUUAUUGAGCCUAAAGCGUUCGUAGCCGGUUUUGUAAAUCCUCAGACAAAUUCUCCCGCUUAACGGGAGAUACUCUGGAGAGACUGCGAAACUAGGGACCGGGUGAGGUUGAAGGUACUUCUGGGGUAGGGGUAAAAUCCUGUAAUCCUGGAAGGACGACCAGUGGCGAAGGCGUUCAACUAGAACGGAUCCGACGGUGAGGAACGAGGGCUAGGGGAGCAAACCGGAUUAGAUACCCGGGUAGUCCUAGCUGUAAACACUGCCCACUUGGUGUUGCUUCUUCUAUAGGGGGGAGCAGUGCCGGAGCGAAGGUGUUAAGUGGGCCGCUUGGGGAGUAUGGUCGCAAGGCUGAAACUUAAAGGAAUUGGCGGGGGAGCACCGCAACGGGAGGAGCGUGCGGUUUAAUUGGAUUCAACGCCGGAAAACUCACCGGGAGCGACCUUCGGAUGAGAGUCAACCUGACGAGUUUACUCGAUAGAAGGAGAGGUGGUGCAUGGCCGUCGUCAGCUCGUACCGUAGGGCGUUCACUUAAGUGUGAUAACGAGCGAGACCC
rnacentral:rRNA from 1 species